GCAAGUCGAACGAACCUUUAUGGUUAGUGGCGCACGGGUGCGUAACACGUGGGAAUAUACCCUUUAGUGCGGAAUAACGGUUGGAAACGACCGCUAAUACCGCAUAAUGACUCCGGUCCAAAGAUUUAUCGCUGAAGGAUUAGCCCGCGCCUGAUUAGGUAGUUGGUGAGGUAAGAGCUCACCAAGCCCACGAUCAGUAGCUGGUCUGAGAGGAUGAUC
rnacentral:rRNA from 1 species